AUCUUUACAAAUAACUUUAUCACGAUUAAUUAAUUUAAUCAUGAAAGGUUGAUGAGUUAUUUAAAAAAUAAUGAAUUAUAAUAAUUAUCAAAUUUUGUAUGUUACCCUUUUACUAUAUGCCGAAGGGACAAACACAUUACUUGAUAAAAAUAUUUGUUUUUAACAUUGCAUUAACUUUAUACAUUAUAAAGUGAUCGAAUCAUAAUAUAUUUGUUACAUGCAAAGAGAAUAAAAAUAUGAAUCAAACUCUUAAGUUUGUUUAUGCUUUGAUUUUAUUUCUUUCGCUAGCUUUUGUAGCAAAGAAGAUUGAUGGCGCCGAAGUAAUAAAAUAUGAAACUGAUGAUGAUAAUUCAAAAACGCCCCACUUAACAAAUUUUAUUUAUAAGUGUGUAACCAAGUUUUGUACAUUUGUAAGAGAAAGUUGUAGGGGAAUGUGAACUCUCUGAGUAAGGUAUUCAAGAGAUACACAAAUUCCAUGCAUGAAAACAUGAAUUCUUGCACUAGCAAAAGUUCUAUAUAAUAAAAUGUUAGCUAGAAUAAUAUUCAAUGAACUACCAUUUAUGUUUGAUGGUGGAUUCAAAAAUUGUAUAUUUAUUUAUUUAACACCUACACGGAACUCUACAAAAUAUUGUCAGUCAAAAUUAUAAAGACGCAAUUUGUUAAUGUAUUAUUAUUUUGAGAAUUUGAUAUCUUCAUCUUUAGAUUGUUCA